AGAGUUUGAUCAUGGCUCAGGAUGAACGCUAGCUACAGGCUUAACACAUGCAAGUCGAGGGGAAACGAUAUCGGAAGCUUUGCUUCCGAUAGGCGUCGACCGGCGUACGGGUGAGUAACGCGUAUCCAACCUGCCCACCACUUGGGGAUAACCUUGCGAAAGUAAGACUAAUACCCAAUGACGUCUCUAGAAGACAUCUGAAAGAGAUUAAGAUUUAUCGGUGAUGGAUGGGGAUGCGUCUGAUUAGCUUGUUGGCAGGGUAACGGCCCACCAAGGCGACGAUCAGUAGGGGUUCUGAGAGGAAGGCCCCCCACAUUGGAACUGAGACACGGUCCAAACUCCUACGGGAGGCAGCA
rnacentral:rRNA from 1 species